UAGAGGUUAGAAUUAAAGACACUGCAGUGUUGUUGGUUUUUUGUUUUGUUUGUUUUGUUUUUAAUUCUGCAUCCGAUGGACAAGAUCCAAGCUGCUUAUCCCAGUUUCGGGUUUUUCUGCAAUUUUCUGCAAUUCUAAAGGAUUUGGACCAGGCUCUGCUUUGCCCACAUGGGCCAAUGCAUCUCCAUAUUUUCUGUGAUGAGCAUGGGCAGAAUUGAAUGCUGACAGCUAAACCCAACUUCUCACGUGCUCACAAGCAAGACACUGAUCUAAAGCUGGGGAAAGGAUCAGAUGACAGAGGAAGUGCAGAGUGGAAUGACAGUCUGCAGGACUGGAAGCUAUUUCCCCCUCCAUUCAAGAGGCAUCUAUUUUUGACUAACUUUUUCACAGUUGUGCAAAAAUUAUAUCUACCCAAAGAACAGAGAGGG